rnacentral:rRNA from 1 species
AGAGUUUGAUCCUGGCUCAGAUUGAACGCUGGCGGCAUGCUUUACACAUGCAAGUCGAACGGCAGCGCGGGCUUCGGCCUGGCGGCGAGUGGCGAACGGGUGAGUAAUGCAUCGGAACGUGCCCAGUAGUGGGGGAUAGCCCGGCGAAAGCCGGAUUAAUACCGCAUACGACCUGAGGGUGAAAGCGGGGGACCGAAAGGCCUCGCGCUAUUGGAGCGGCCGAUGUCGGAUUAGCUAGUUGGUGGGGUAAAGGCUUACCAAGGCGACGAUCCGUAGCUGGUCUGAGAGGACGACCAGCCACACUGGGACUGAGACACGGCCCAGACUCCUACGGGAGGCAGCAGUGGGGAAUUUUGGACAAUGGGGGCAACCCUGAUCCAGCCAUGCCGCGUGCGGGAAGAAGGCCUUCGGGUUGUAAACCGCUUUUGUUCGGGAAGAAAUCCUCUGGGCUAAUACCCCGGGGGGAUGACGGUACCGGAAGAAUAAGCACCGGCUAACUACGUG